rnacentral:rRNA from 1 species
AUUGAACGCUGGCGGCAGGCCUAACACAUGCAAGUCGAACGAGUGGCGGACGGGUGAGUAAUGUCUGGGGAACUGCCCGAUAGAGGGGGAUAACUACUGGAAACGGUGGCUAAUACCGCAUACUAUCUGAUGAGCCCAUAUGGGAUUAGCUAGUUGGUGGGGUAACGGCUCACCUAGGCGACGAUCCCUAGCUGGUCUGAGAGGAUGAUCAGCCACACUGGAACUGAGACACGGCCCAGACUCCUACGGGAGGCAGCAGGGGGGAAUAUUGCACAAUGGGCGCAAGCCUGAUGCAGCCAUGCCGCGUGUAUGAAGAAGGCCUUAGGGUUGUAAAGUACUUUCAGCGGGGAGGCGUUACCCGCAGAAGAAGCACCGGCUAACUCCGUGCCAGCAGCCGCGGUAAUAC